GGUGGCUCAGUGGGGAGAGCACAGGACUUGCAUGUCUGGGACCCUAGGUUCCAUUCCUGGCACCA
rnacentral:tRNA from 1 species